GGACAUCAUAGAGGGUGAUAAUCCCGUCUGUUACUGCUGGAUCCCUUAAUUGUGAGUUCGUUAUAUGAUACGCUUUCAAAGAGUCGAGUUGUUUGGGAUUGCAGCUCCAAAUGGGUGGUAAACAUCACCUAAGGCUAAAUAUUUGCGAGAGACCGAUAGCGAACAAGUACCGUGAGGGAAAGAUGAAAAGAACUUUGAAAAGAGAGUUAAAAAGUAUGUGAAAUUGUUGAAAGGGAAACGAUUGAAGUCAGUCGUGCAGUCAUCAAUUCAGCGGUUAACAUUUAUGUUUUCCGUGUAAUUUGGUGUCUGUUGGUUAGCAUCAAUUUUGAUUGUUAUAAAAAGGUUAAGGGGAUGUGGCUCCUUCGGGAGUGUUAUAACCCUUAGCGUAAUGUGACGAUUAGGAUUGAGGUUUGCAACGAAUACCUUUUAGGGCAGUUUCACCUGGCCUCUCGUAGGAUUUCGGGUGGUGAUAGCAUGCUAUCACUAUUCGAACUCUCUACGAAAAGGUUGGAGUGUAAAACUAAUUCGUUAAGGAUGC
rnacentral:rRNA from 1 species